rnacentral:rRNA from 1 species
AGUGAACGCUGGCGGCAGGCCUAACACAUGCAAGUCGAACGGCAGCACGGCAGUAGCAAUACUGUGGGUGGCGAGUGGCGGACGGGUGAGGAAUACAUCGGGAUCUACCCUGUUGUGGGGGAUAACGUAGGGAAACUUACGCUAAUACCGCAUAAGAACUGAGGUUGAAAGCGGCGGACCGCAAGGCGUCGCGCGAUUGGAUGAACCGAUGUCCGAUUAGCUAGUUGGCGGGUAAAGGCCCACCAAGGCGACGAUCGGUAGCUGGUCUGAGAGGACGACCAGCCACACUGGAACUGAGACACGGUCCAGACUCCUACGGGAGGCAGCAGUGGGGAAUAUUGGACAAUGGGCGCAAGCCUGAUCCAGCCAUGCCGCGUGGGUGAAGAAGGCCUUCGGGUUGUAAG